AGUACAAAUAUCAUAUCUACUCUGCACUUUCUGAGAGCACAUUCAGUGUUAUUUUACAGUAUCUCUAGAGAAGUGGAGUUGUGAUGUUUAUGACUUGAUUUAACACUAUCUCAAGGAAGUACAGCAGUACUGUUGGCUUUGCUCUGAGAAUAAUGGAACAUGAAGUGAAGGCUAACUAGAAGUAAGUGAAGAUCACUCCAGCCAGAAAAUCGUGAGUGAAGGCUGGCUGAUACAUGCAACAGAGGCGUUCUUCAGACAAAUUACGAAGAUUUCUCUAGCCCCACCUGUCACAGAAGAUAAAUAUUCAGAAGUUUUUCUGAAGAUUUACAAGUAAACAGAAGUUGUGAAAAUGGCAUUCACCAGUGCCUAUUUGCAAGCAGCUCAUCGAAGUGAAGAACUAGUUUCUCUGUCUACCAUACACCUCAUUCACUCUUGUUUAAAACAACCCAUAAUAGAAAGAAAAAACUGGAUGAAUCCGUGUUUCUUCUGUAAUGAAGAAGCAAAACUCCAACAGCAAGAGAGGAACUUCUGCAGUCCCACACAUAACCAGCUCAACAGGUUUGUGCUAAUUUAUGUUGCAAUUAAAUGAGCACACCUUGCCAUAUCACAUGGAAUACAAGUAUAAUAAUGAGUGAACAUGGAACCAUUUGGAGGAGGUUGUGAAACUUCAUUUGUGUGUGUUUGCUGUAUUUCUAUCCAUUUCUGCAUUAUGAGACACCGGUCAAUCCAUAAUGCCCUGUGUCAUUCUUGAAAAGUCAUGACUUUAUCUUUCGUCCCUUAAUCUGUUUCCUUUCCCUGGAGAAUACUCAAAAUCCCAUUCUUAAUCUUCUACAUUUCUUAG
rnacentral:lncRNA from 1 species